rnacentral:sRNA from 1 species
AUUAUGAAUCUUCACUCAUCAUAACAUCUCCUUCGUUGAAGAGAAAACAAUGGGUGAGACAAACAGUAGUAGCAAAAGCAGUAGGUGGUCUUUGCAAGGAAUGACAGCACUGGUCACCGGUGGAUCCAAAGGAAUCGGAUAUGCUGUUGUAGAGGAGUUGGCACAACUUGGGGCAACUGUACACACUUGUGCUCGAAACGAAGCUGAACUCAGUGAAUCCUUGAACGAAUGGACCACGAAAGGAUACAGAGUAA